rnacentral:rRNA from 1 species
GACAGAGGGUGCAAACGUUGUUCGGAAUUACUGGGCGUAAAGCGCGUGUAGGCGGCCAUCUAAGUCGGGCGUGAAAUCCCACGGCUCAACCGUGGAAGUGCACUCGAAACUGGAUGGCUAGAGUCCUGGAGAGGAAGGUGGAAUGCUUGGUGUAGAGGUGAAAUUCGUAGAUAUCAAGCGGAACGCCGGUGGCGAAGGCGGCCUUCUGGACAGUGACUGACGCUGAGACGCGAAAGCGUGGGGAGCAAACAGG